CCUACGGGAGGCAGCAGUGAGGAAUAUUGGUCAAUGGACGAGAGUCUGAACCAGCCAAGUAGCGUGAAGGAUGACUGCCCUAUGGGUUGUAAACUUCUUUUAUAUGGGAAUAAAACGUUCCACGUGUGGGAUUUUGUAUGUACCAUAUGAAUAAGGAUCGGCUAACUCCGUGCCAGCAGCCGCGGUAAUACGGAGGAUCCGAGCGUUAUCCGGAUUUAUUGGGUUUAAAGGGAGCGUAGGUGGAUUGUUAAGUCAGUUGUGAAAGUUUGCGGCUCAACCGUAAAAUUGCAGUUGAAACUGGCAGACUUGAGUACAGUAGAGGUGGGCGGAAUUCGUGGUGUAGCGGUGAAAUGCUUAGAUAUCACGAAGAACUCCGAUUGCGAAGGCAGCUCACUGGACUGCAACUGACACUGAGGCUCGAAAGUGUGGGUAUCAAACAGGAUUAGAUACCCCAGUAGUC
rnacentral:rRNA from 1 species